rnacentral:misc_RNA from 1 species
AAACUGUGUCAUAAAUUUAGAAAUCAAAACAUUAUUAUAAUGAAUAGUCCAUAUAACCUCAAAAAUAAUAUUUCAUAAAUUUAGAUAGUACUAACCAACCUACAUAUUAAACUUUUCAUAGACUUAUCUAGAUAAACUCACUGAAGAAGCAAUGAAGGAUAUUAACAUCUGCUGCACAAUUGACAGUAAAACUGGAGAACCAUGUAAAUGGGUUGGACAAAUCAGGCAUUUGGAGGUGCAUAUGGAUUUACAUCAUAAGGGAGCUCGAGAGGCAACUGCUCAGCUGAGCCCCGCUGUCUUUCCCAGUACUGCUCAAGGUGCUGUUCCUGGUCCCUCUACUUUGCCCUUAUUUGAUCAGCCAGACGGUGAAGAAUCGUGGAAGGAAGUAGCGCAGGGUUUGAUGGACAAGCAACGUAUGGACCACAAUGACAUUCAGGAGUUAAAGCAACAAUUUGAAGUGCUCUUACGAGCAUAUAACACUGAAAAACACAGACGUGAGCAACUAGAGAAUGUGGUGGCAUCUACAGCGGAAAAAUUUCAACUUUUGGAAAACAAGCAAAGUAUGGAUCGCACCAAUAUGGACCAGUUACAACAGCAGCUUGCAGCAUUUAGUGAUGCAGUGGUUACUGAGAAACGGGAACGUGAGCGAUUGCAGAAUGAAAUGAGGGUUAUAGAGGGUCAAGUUAAAGUUCUGCAAUCUAUGGGCCACCUUGAACAGCUGAAAGAGCAACUUGCGACCCUUUCUGAUGCACUUGCUACUGUGUCACGUCAAGGUGAGGAGUUGCUACAGGAAGUAAGAACUGCAGAGGGCAGAGUUGAAGAUCUAGAACGCCAGCAGCGUCAUGACCAAACUACCACCGAACAGUGUAAAAGACAGCUAGAAGUAUUUGCUGAAGAAUUUGCUGAGGAAAAAAGGAAAUACGAGCAAUUACAGGACAACGUUAAUACUGCAGAUGGCAAAAUUCAGGUUCUAGGACGAGAGCUUUCCAAGAGACGAACCUGAAUCCCCUGUCAUAAACACGUCAUGGCUUAUGACGUUUGUGCCGAAUCGAAAACUCGAAACCCUUAGCUAGACGGAUCAAGAGCCUUUAGAACCAAAUUAAUGGACUGGCUUCAUCUAAUUUGUCAUAACUGUGGGCUGCCAUUAAAUAGUGCUGUGAUGGCAGGGAAUGGUAAUUAUUUGUGCUGUUCAGGCGGUAAAAAUAUUACUUUAUGGUAAGUGACAAUUUGAAUCCCUUACAAUAUGUUGGAAUAAAACAACACCAACUUUACAUCUGGUAUAAAAUUAAUGAAUUUUAACUAGUCACAGAGAGUGUGGUUCUGUAAAAAGUUGUAGAACAUGGUAUGUCAACUUUUUCUAGUUAUCCUACAGAAUACUGUUAGUAGCCCUUAGUUCUCAAUUAAAAUUAAUUAUUAUUAAUGAUUAAUAAUGAUGUGAAGUUUAUAUGAAAUA